AACCCCGGACGCCCACGGGCUCCGGGACGCAUCACCAAACGGUGGUCAGCCCGAAAGUCUCGCUUCGGCAAACACACGACACGGUAGGGGAGCGGCGAGUAGGCCGCAAGGCUCGAAACCCCGUCACCCCC
ncrna:unclassified sequences RT-10 RNA